rnacentral:rRNA from 1 species
UACAGAGACUGCAAGCGUUAUUCGGAUUCACUGGGCGUAAAGGGUGCGCAGGUGGUUGUGUGUGUCAGAUGUGAAAUCCCGGAGCUUAACUCCGGAACUGCGUCUGAAACUGCACGACUAGAGCAUUGGAGAGGGUAGUGGAAUUCACGGUGUAGCAGUGAAAUGCGCAGAUAUCAGGAGGAACACCAAUGGCGAAGGCAGCUCGCUGGGACGGUACUGACGCUGAGACGCGAAAGCGUGGGGAGCAAACAGG